UUCACUUUUCAUUUUGACUCUCUCUCAAUUAACACUACUUUUUCUUCUGCUAUUCUCUGGAAGCUUCCUGAACAUGUUCUGUUUUUCUACUUUCGUCCUAGUCUCUCAAACCCUUUUAUUGAUAGACUCUGCAAGUUUAUUCUCUUUCUUCUCUCUUUGUUUUCACUCUCCACUAUUUCUCAACAGCAGGGUGCUCCUUGGUCAGUCUGUCUUCUUUCUGUUUCCGCUAUCGACAUUAUUUCACCAGCGACAUCCUCCGUGAUCGGAUUUCUUUGUGGCUGCUCUUCUUUCUUACUGAUUGAUGACUCUUUCUAUAGUCGAAGGUGGAAUACAAAACAAGGAAGAGAAGGAUAGCUAUAGGUUAAGAGGUUCAAAUUUUUUAAUAUUUUAUUUUUAUUAAUAAUUAAUUAUUUAUUUAUAUUAAAUGUAAUUAUGUAAGAUUGAUUGAUGUGAAAUUUGCAGAAAGAAAAAUUUUUGAGGUAUUAAUAUAACGUGAGGUUUGUAAUUUUUUACCUCUUGUUAAACAUUAGAUUUGUUGUUUUAUAUUUAUAUAUUUAUGAUGUCAUUUAUGUAUAGAUAUUUGUUUGUUUAAAUUUAUUUUUUUAUUUUAAUAUUAAUAUCUAUGUUUUAUAUUAAAUACAAUCAUAGGGGGUUAAUAGAUGACUCUUAUAAUUGAAGAUGGAGAUAUAAAAUAAAGAAGAUAAAAAAAAUUGUUGGUUUGAAUGUUUGAAUUUUUUAUAUAUAUAUUUUAAUUUUUUAAUUAAUAUUUAUUUAUUUAUUUAUAUUAGAUUCGAUCAAGAAUGAUUGAUGAAAAAUUUAUAAAAAGAAAAAAAAUUUAGUAAUUUUUUUUAAAGUAAUAUGAUGUGAAGUAUGUAUUUUUUGAUUUUUUUUGUUAAUGUUUAUUACCUAUUGUUAGAUCUUUUAAUUAUAAGUUGUGUUUUGUUGUUUCAUUAUUUAUAUAUUUAUAAUUUUAUUUAUGGAUGAAUAUUUGUUUUAUAGCAGAUGGUGGACAUAAAAAAAAUAAGAGAAGGUUAGCUAUGGGUUUUGAGGUUUAAAAUUUUUUAUUUUUAAAAUUUUUUAUUAAUAUUAAGUUUGCAUUUUUUGAUGUUUGUUUCUUGUUGAUAGGUGUUCUAACUAUGAGUUGGAUUUAUUAUUUCAUCAUUUAUAUAUUUAUAAUUUCAUUCAUGUAUAAGCAUUUGUUGUUCAAAUUUUUUAUUUUUUUAUUUUGUUAUUAAUAUUUAUUAUUCUAUAUUAAAUGCAAUCAUGCAAGUUGAUCGAUGACUUCUUUUACAGUCGAAAGUGGAGAUAUAUGAAAUGAUGUGAAUAAUAUUACCUUUGUACUACUACCAAACCCAAAGUGCAUGAAUUGUGCCUGGGCAUAAUAGUGAUUGAUAUUAAGAAUAAAUGAAGAUAUAGUUGAAUUAUGAAAUUUUGGUACCUUGGUCAUGUUCAUCUUAAGAGUGAAUUAAGGAGUGCAUGCGUAACUAUACUAAAUUUGGCUACUGGAUUUGUGAUAGUGUGAAAGUUCAUGAUGAAAAUAGUAAGCUUGUAAAAGUUAGACCAUUAGAGUGAUGUCUUUUUGAGGCCUUUCGCAUUUCAAAAUGGAAACGGAGAUGGAUGGUUAUAGAUUCUAUAUAUACGCAAACUAGAACCCAAGAAAGAGAAAUGAUGGCAUUGGAAUGAAUAGAAAUAAGUAAACUUGAAAUGAUGUUACAAAUCUUGCACAAUAUAUGGUUGGUGGAAAUGGAAAAUAUUGUUCUUUAAUAAUGUCACUAGGAACAUAGGUGUCUUGACUUGCCACAAUGUGAUAUUUUUAGAAUGAUCAUCACUAGUUUGGUUUUCAAAUCAAACACUUUGUCAAAGGUUUGCAAGGAUGGUGGUAACAUUUUUCCUAUAAAUGAUUCAAUAGUUAUCAUUAAACAUCACUGGGUAGGGAUGGUGGUAAGCAAGCGCAAUGGUCAUUGUCUUGCUUGUGAUUCUUGCAUGCACCAAUUGUGAUAAAGAGAAUUGAGAUUGGGCAACCAAUGAUAACUAAGCCCAUAGUGUAUUGCACUUUUAGAUGUCAUUGAGUAUAGGGUAGUGGAAUGUCUUGAGAAGACAAGUUGAAGAACCCAAUCCAAGAGAAAAACUUUUGUAUAUGCAAUAUGAUGUAAUCAAAUGAGUGAUGAGUAGUUUAGAAAAUUCGAGGACGAAUUUUCUUGAGAAGGGAGAAUGAGAAACCUUAACUUUUCAUUUGAAUGGAAUUUGAUGAAUGUUGAAUAUUUAAUGAGCUAUAUUUGAUUGUGUUAUUGGAUGGGCUUUCCCAACCAAUUUUCUUUAAAUUUAUCUUUCAUAUGGUGUUUUAAUUAUGGAAGUUUUUAGACUUAAAAUAGCUUUUGGAAGUAAGGAGGAUCGACUCUUGAAAGAGAAGGGUUGAUCCCUAGAAAACAGGACAAAAUAAAAAGCCCUAACUUAAUCUUUACUUCUUAUUUUUCAUUUCUUAAGCCUUCAUUCACUCUCUAAUAGCCUCAAAACCACUUUUACAACCAUUCGAUAUCCUAUUUAGCAAGGAAUCAACUUUCUAAACUCGAAUCUAAGGUGAGAUUUAUCAUUUUCAUGUUUUGGAAACCAUGGGUUUAACCUAACACCUUUUUGUACGAAUUCGAACUCAUUUAAUCCUUCAUUAAACUCGAAUCUAAUUGCCCUUGAACCAAUUGGAUUGGUCAACAAAUAUAUAUUACCAUUUAAUACAUAUUUAAUUACUUAACUAUAUGUGAUAGAGGUUUUUUUUCAUAUUAGUACAAUAAUAAGAAAUUAUUAAGUGUUAAUUGGAUUAAGCCCAUGGAACAUAUAAGUUUUGCAAGAGAAUUGUAAAGUUGUUAUAAUUAUGAGAUCUUUAUGCAUCAAAGUCAUGUUUCUAAAAUAAUUUUUGAUUAUUGUAUUGUCAACAUAGGGUAUUGACAAUGCUCAAAGAUUGAUACAUGUUAAGUUUCUUUACUUGAGAAGUAAGUAAAAGAUCUUAUAAAUUGAAGUAUAUGAGAUACUUAAGGAUGACAUGUGGGUGCUUAUUAGAGAACAAAUUUACUGAACAUGACCCACUGUGAGAACCCCAUUUGGUAUUUCACUAAGAUGUCUAUGGAAUAUGUUCUUAUGUUACAGUCAUGUUAUCAAUCCUUGAACUUGAGAUCCCAAGUCAUCUUUUAUGAGGAAAGACAUUUAGAUUUCACUUUUAUGGGUUUGGAGGCGAUUAGAUGUCUAAACAAAGUCUUUUUAGGUGUGCCGCAAGGCAUGCUAAGGUGGAUGAGUUAUUAAGAGAGGAUUUAACGCCUUAAGUGAUAUGAGGAGAUAUAUCUCACUUGUUCUCAACUUUAAAUUAACUUAUAUAAAGUCUUUGGUCAAAACAUAAUGAAUUUGAGGAAAGUUAGUUUCCUAAAUUCAUAAGGUUAGUCAUGAAUUACAAAAACUAAUAUGGAAUGUCAUAAGUAGACACUGAGUCAUGCUUUAUGACAUUUGAUAUAUUUGAUAAAAGGACCGUAUUGCAUUGAGAGACUUAUCACUAAAUGUUUUUGUCAAAUUUUUUAAUUGACUGUUUAAUAUUUGAGUUGUCAUGAUGUGUUGUUAAAUAUCGCUCAUGAUCUACAAAUAUAAAUUAAUUAAUAAAUUGAUAUUUGAUUAUGAUUUAUAUUUAUUACGGACAUGUUAGAAGCGUAAUGGGUCACACACAUUAAGUGACAUGAUUGAGAUUAAAGAGAGAUAAUUAAUUCAGUUAGACUUGAUUGAAAUAGAUCAAAAUAAAGUGAAAAAUAUAAGUUCACAAAGACUUAAAUUGAAUAGAAAUAAAAAUGUUGUAUCUAGGGUUACAACUUAGUUUGGCUAUAUAAAUAUGUUAUGUUAAGCAACUAAAACUUGAAGCUUUAAGCCACUUUUUAGCAGAUUCAUAAAAUAAGAAAAGAACAAUAAAUUUUUUGUCCGACAAAAAUAAGGUUUGGCUAGGGUUUUUGGUUUUUGUUUCUUUAAAAACAAAACUUGCAAUAGAACAAGUAAAAUAAAUCUUAUCUCUGAGAAGGUCUUAUUUGUUUACUGUAUGGAUUAUCGUUAGAGGCUAAACACUUGGGUGGCGGAAGAUUUAACAAAUCUUAAAAGUGAAGAAGCAAAGAUUUCAACUGUAAGAUUUCAGAUUGUUUUAUUCUCUUUGUGGGUUUCUUACUUCCUCAAAAGCUUUUUGGAUUUCAUUAGCUCUCGAGUACGAUAUUUGGAGCAAGGUAUGUAAUACUUGAAUUUAUGAGCAUUCAUAACUAAUAUGAAAAUUGCAUGAAAAACACAUAAUUUUUCUAAGGGAUUCGACUGGUUGUUUGAUUAAAUGUAUUAUCUUAUUUUUUCGUUAUGUUAUGCUUUUAAUUCAUUGAUUAAUUUCAUGUUUGAACAUGAGGUUGAAUCCCAACAUUUUACAAUUCAAAGAUGUUAAGUUAUGGAUGUUUAAGGCUGCUCCAUAAAUAAUUUAAGUUUGAAGUUUUGAAUAUUGUUGAAAUUGAAAUGAAAAAUAUUUGAUUACUUGACUAGUUUCGAAGGUGUGUUUGCUGGAGACUAUGAGAUUUAUAAUAGGAUUUAUUGUGCUAGGUGAUUGUUAGAGCUCGAGAUUGUAAAACGAGCAAAGUUAUGUGAUUUGGAGCUUAGAAAAAUAUACUUCUUGUCAAGGUGAAUGGUUACACCUCUUUCACUAUUUUACUAUGUAAAGUGAGCAUGUUUUAUGAGCUAUUUACCUUUGCAUGAUUUUUAUGUCAUUGGUAAAAAUGUUGGUUGUGAGAAUUAUGUUCAAACUUUUUCAAAAAUGUUUUGAACUUACCAUGAGCCUGUUUUGCUUGAUUUUUUUUAGCUUAAAAGCUAUUAUGAAGUUUUAAUGAAAAAUAAUAG
rnacentral:lncRNA from 1 species